rnacentral:rRNA from 1 species
CGUAGGGCAAGCGUUGUCCGGAAUUAUUGGGCGUAAAGCGCUCGCAGGCGGUCUUUAAGUCUGAUGUGAAAGCCCACGGCUCAACCGUGGAGGGUCAUUGGAAACUGGAGGACUUGAGUACAGAAGAGGAGAGUGGAAUUCCACGUGUAGCGGUGAAAUGCGUAGAGAUGUGGAGGAACACCAGUGGCGAAGGCGACUCUCUGGUCUGUAACUGACGCUGAGGAGCGAAAGCGUGGGAGCGAACAGGAUU